rnacentral:rRNA from 1 species
CCUAACACAUGCAAGUCGAACGCACUGCCCCAAAAUUUAAAGAAGUGCUUGCACGGAAUUAAUGCUUGGAAUUUGCAGUGAGUGGCGAACGGGUGAGUAACACGUGGGUAACCUACCGUAUAAAUUGGGAUAACUGUUGGAAACGACAGCUAAUACCAAAUAAGUAUAUAAAUCGAAAGAGCAAUAUAUUAAAGAGGCGUUUGCCUCGAUAUACGAUGGGCCCGCGUUGCAUUAGCUAGUUGGUGAGGUAAGGGCUCACCAAGGCAACGAUGCAUAGCCGGACUGAGAGGUUGAACGGCCACAUUGGGACUGAGACACGGCCCAGACAACUACGGUUGGCAGCAGUAGGGAAUUUUUCGCAAUGGACGAAAGUCUGACGGAGCAAUGCCGCGUGAGUGAUGACGGCUUUCGGAUUGUAAAACUCUGUUGUGUAGGAAGAACACUAAUAGUAGGAAAUGACUAUUAGCUGACGCAACUACACCAGAAAGCCACGGCUAACUACGUGCCAGCAGCCGCGGUAAUACGUAGGUGGCGAGCGUUAUCCGGAAUUAUUGGGCGUAAAGAGCGUGUAGGCGGUAUAACAAGUCUGAUGUGAAAGCUAGUGGC